CCUACGGGUGGCAGCAGUGGGGAAUAUUGGGCAAUGGGCGAAAGCCUGACGCAGCGACGCCGCGUGAGGGAUGAAGGUCUUCGGAUCGUAAACCACUGUCAGCAGGGAAGAACGGUCACUGUGCUAAUCAGCAGUGAAUUGACGGUACCUGCAAAGGAAGCACCGGCUAACUCCGUGCCAGCAGCCGCGGUAAUACGGAGGGUGCGAGCGUUUCUGGGAAUUACUGGGCGUAAAGCGCGCGUAGGCGGGAUGUUAAGUCAAGGGUGAAAUCCCCGCGCUCAACGUGGGAACUGCCUUUGAAACUGGCAAACUGGAGUGUGUGAGAGGAUAGUGGAAUUCCAGGUGUAGGAGUGAAAUGCGUAGAUAUCUGGAGGAACAUCAGUGGCGAAGGCGACUAUCUGGCACAUAACUGACGCUGAGGAGCGAAAGCGUGGGUAGCAAACAGGAUUAGAUACCCGUGUAGUC
rnacentral:rRNA from 1 species